rnacentral:rRNA from 1 species
UACGUAGGGGGCGAGCGUUGUCCGGAGUUACUGGGCGUAAAGCGCACGCAGGCGGUCUGCUAAGUUUGGAGUGACAGUUGGUGGCUUAACUGCCAAAGUGCUUCGAAAACUGACAGACUUGAGGGCUUCAGAGGGACACGGAAUUCCGGGUGGAGUGGUGAAAUGCGUAGAGAUCCGGAGGAACACCAAAGGCGAAGGCAGUGUCCUGGGUAGUACCUGACGCUCAGGUGCGAAAGCCAGGGGAGCGAACGGG